rnacentral:rRNA from 1 species
GACGAACCGUGCGAACGUUAUUCGGAAUCACUGGCUUAAAGCGCGUGUAGGCGGGCCGGCACGUCGGUCGCUGAAAUCCCCCGGCUCAACCGGGGAAGGGGCGCCGAUACGACCGGCCUGGAGGGACGUAGGGGGGGCCGGAACUUCCGGGUGGAGCGGGUGAAAUGCGUUGAGAUCGGAAGGAACGCCCGUGGCGAAAGCGAGCCCCUGGACGCUACUGAGCUGAGACGCGAAGCCAGGGAGCGAACGGG